UACGUAGGGGGCAAGCGUUGUCCGGAUUUAUUGGGCGUAAAGAGCGUGUAGGCGGCCUGACAGGUCUGCUGUGAAAACUCGAGGCUCAACCUCGAGAUGUCGGCGGAAACCGUCUGGCUAGAGUCCGGAAGAGGAGAGUGGAAUUCCUGGUGUAGCGGUGAAAUGCGCAGAUAUCGCUUGGAACGCCAAAGGUGAAAACAGGUUGCUGGGGUUGUGCCGACGCUGAGACACGAAAGCCAGGGGAGCAAACGGG
rnacentral:rRNA from 1 species